rnacentral:rRNA from 1 species
AGCAGCCGCGGUAAUUCCAGCUCCAAUAGCGUAUAUUAAAGUUGUUGCAGUUAAAAAGCUCGUAGUUGAAUUUCGGGAUCAAUACGUCGGUCGUGCUUCGGUACGUACUGGCGUCAUUGAUUUCUCCCUUCUGACGAACCAUGAUGUCAUUAACUUGGUGUCAUGGGAAAUCAGGACUGUUACUUUGAAAAAAUUAGAGUGUUUAAAGCAGGCUCACGCUUGAAUACGUUAGCAUGGAAUAAUGAAAUAGGACGUUUGAUCCUAUUUUGUUGGUUUCUAGGAUUGACGUAAUGAUUAAUAGGGAUAGUUGGGGGCAUUAGUAUUCAAUUGUCAGAGGUGAAAUUCUUGGAUUUAUUGAAGACUAACUACUGCGAAAGCAUUUGCCAAGGAUGUUUUCAUUAAUCAAGAACGAAAGUUAGGGGAUCGAAGACGAUCAGAUACCGUCGUAGUCUUAACCAUAAACUAUGCCGACUAGGGAUCGGAUGAUGUUAAUUUUUUAAUGACUCGUUUGGCACCUUAC